rnacentral:rRNA from 1 species
CCUACGGGUGGCUGCAGUGGGGAAUAUUGGACAAUGGGCGAAAGCCUGAUCCAGCCAUGCCGCGUGUGUGAAGAAGGCCUUCGGGUUGUAAAGCACUUUCAGUGGGGAAGAAAGCCUUGGGGCUAAUACCCUCGAGGAAGGACAUCACCCACAGAAGAAGCACCGGCUAACUCCGUGCCAGCGGCCGCGGUAAUACGGAGGGUGCGAGCGUUAAUCGGAAUUACUGGGCGUAAAGCGCGCGUAGGUGGUUUGAUAAGCCGGUUGUGAAAGCCCCGGGCUCAACCUGGGAACGGCAUCCGGAACUGUCAGGCUAGAGUGCAGUAGAGGAAGGUAGAAUUCCCGGUGUAGCGGUGAAAUGCGUAGAGAUCGGGAGGAAUACCAGUGGCGAAGGCGGCCUUCUGGACUGACACUGACGCUGAGGUGCGAAAGCGUGGGUAGCAAACAGGAUUAGAUACCCCGGUAGUC